UUGAAGUCUUUAUUGAAUUUGUUACAAUAUCUCUUCUGCUUUAUGUUUUGGUUUUUUGGCCUUGAGGCAUGUGGGAUCCUAGCUCCCCUACCAGGGAUCGAACCCACGCCCCUGCACUGGAAGGUGAAGUCCCAACCACUGGACCGCUAGGGAAGUCCCUGACCCCAGUUUUUAAUACUUUUUCCUUUUGCUCUUGCAGAGGUCCCUUCCCCAGGCCUGGAGACCAGGUGCUUUGGGCCACACUGACCUUGGAAAUGGAGGUCAGCACAGUCGGCAUCGGCAUGGCACUGCCCAUUGUCCUGCAGGCAGCGGUCGAUGGGCAGCUGCUCCAGUUCACAGUCCAGCCCGUCUCCCACAUUAACAAAUGGAAACUCAGAGCUUAACUGACCUGACAAAGGCAAACCAGCUACAACGUGGAGGGGCUGGGAUUUAAACCCAGAGUGCUGGCAGCCACUUGAGCCCCUGAGAGCAUAUGAACACGAGGACAAAAGGCCUCAGCCUAAGGCUGGCGGAGCAGAAAGACAGAACCCGGGUCUUUGCUGCCACUGCCGAUGCUGAGCUACUUCUAGACUGCCUCGUAGCAGAUCACAAAACAACAGGUGGCAUGAGCAGAACACGGAGGCAGGCACACGAGGGGCAAAGCUGCAGAGAAAGAGGUCACCGUCCAUCCCGCACCAGGAUGUGAACGGUUGGGACCCACCUAAGGCAUCCUCCCGAGACCCCAUGUGGCCUGCCACUGUGUUGCAAAAGUGGCCCCUUAUGGCGGGCAGAUGGGGUGAUUUGCUAAGGUGCCUCCCAGCCUGGAGAUUCUGAGAUUCCGGAAUCACUCCUCUGUAUUAUUAAGACAUUAUUUCCGAAAUGUUAUCCAGAUUAAAAUGCAAAUAUGUUACCCUUAGGGGCAACCAAUGAACACUUUAUACCUCAGAGCCCGCCAGCAAGGGUGAAUUUAGCAGAUUAGCUCUUUGGCCCUAAGGGCAUGGGGUGCCAGAGGAGAUGGUUAAAUUGGAGGAGAAGUUCCAAGGCCUUCUGUGGGCACUGCAGAGCUUGGGAGAAGUCUGGGGCUUUGGUGACUGGAAGGGGCUGCGGUAUCAAGAGGCAG